rnacentral:lncRNA from 1 species
UCAUGGAAAGGAAAGGUGAAACAGGAAAAAGGUGAUCCAUUUGUGCCAAUUUAAAAGGAACUCAAGGUGUGUGUGCACUCAAGAUUACUACUCAAGCAAGCUCUAGUCUGCAAUGUGAGUGAGAUCAAGAAAAGAUCACCAUUAGAUUCAGGAUAUGAAGCUCUUGUUCCAGUGUCCCUGCUGCUCAUGCUUCUGCUUCAUGAAGGCCAAGAAGAACAAGAACAGCCAGGGCAAGGAAGGAGGAGGAGGAAGCAAAUUGCAAGGGGGAUCAGCCAUGGUGAAAACCACAGACAAGUAGCUGCUUGGGUUGAUUUUCCCUGUCUUGAUUUAUGAGUCAGUUUCUUUUUUUCAGUUUCAUCAGUUGCUGCCGCAGUUUAGUAGGUAGUUACAUGCUGCUGCUGCUCAUCUGGCCACUGUCUCUGAACUUGGUUUUUGAGUCUCUCUCUUUAAAUUUGUUGAUGUAUCUACUAUAGUUAAAUAAAAAGCAUCAUCAUUCAUUGCCUUAAUUAGUUAGAGGGCUGUUUGAAAUUUUAAUUUCUCCCUUGAUUUGUUUCAAGUUAUAUACCAACUUUCCCAUCCCAGCUAGCAUUUAACACUGUACAUAUUUUUCUUGUGCUAACCACUUCAUGGAUGGAGAUUU